AUUUUGUAUACUAAACGCGUAAGGUACAAUAUAGGGAGACACAUAAAUUAGUACAGCGACAGAUCGUAACGGUAUGAGGGAAAUGUGUCCAGUAAACCUAAUCUGUCUAGUAUUGGGUGGCACUAUGUGCAGAAUUCUAUGCUUUACCCUAUAUGGGCUGAUGCUUAAUGGUGGUAAAAAAAAUUUAAAUAAAUAAAUGUUGCGCCGCGUUGGCAGGUCCUAAAGAAGCCACUCAGGUUAGAUAUGGAGGUAAUAGCGCAAAUUGGUCGGUAGUAGAGCAGCUCUGGGGAGUGCCUAAAGAUGGCACAUUGUUUGGUCUACCGGCUAUGCUUAAGUGUUACGAAGUGUAUUUUUGGUGCUUUGUGUGGAGUACAUAAGCAGUGUUGAAUGUCUACUGUCAAGUCGAGCAGGUGCGUCCUAGAGUUAUAAGUGUGAGUAGGGUCAUUCAACUUUUAUAGACACCUCUUGGGACCUCAAGGACCUGUGCACAUUCUGCAGUGUGGGAUUAUGACCCUUAAUCAUGGGGGACACAGGGGGGAUAGGAAGGGACUGAAGUCCUGUGAGAGCCUAUUGCCCUCUCGUAGAGAUCCCGCACUUUAGUGUGGGAAAGUAUUAGGGAAUAGUCAGCGUACUCAGUUGACUACUCUAUGUCAUUUGUGAGGGUGUGGAACACAUUGUGUGGACUAAAUGAAAAAUCAUGAUGUAAACAGUUAAACAAUAUGAAAAGAUUUAAACAAGUAGAAUGCUUGUGUCAGGAUCACAGUUCAGGUUGGUGCCCCUCGGUUUUCUACUCCCCUGGGGUAAAAGGGUGUAGUUCUCACUGGGUCCCAGGAAUGCGAAAAAGAGGGAGUUGCCGGUUCCGUUGGUCGUGUGGAGAGCCUCAACACUUGAAGGAAGGGUUCGGCAGCGUGCGGUGAGGAAAGUCUCAGUGUGGCUCUCUCCUUAUUCACUGUGAUCUCGGCAGUGUCCACUGGUAGACAAUGCCAGCUUCGCGCAGGCGGCUUGUCACAGGGCCCGUGGAUCUGCGCCACAAAAGAGUGUUCUGUGUCAGGUCUUAGUAGAAGGUUAAUUCUAAUGACUGAAAGACAAGCAGGUUCUUUCCCUGUACUGCGUGUAGGAUUUUCUUAUGGCAUGAGUGUGGCUGUAAGGUGUUGAAUGUGGUGGGGCAGUUCAGUUGUCUACAGCGUCAGGUACCCCUAGGAUUUUAAUAUUAGUGCGCUUAUUGCGGUCAUUUGAUGUACUGCUUCCUUUAAACCCUUUAUCUCCUGCCUCAGGUCCAGGAUAUCCUUUGUGCGUGAGGUCACCGCUUGUAUUUCCAUCCUAAUCAGCUCCAGGUCCGCAGUGUGCAUCUGCCUCAUUUCUUGCAGGAGGUCAGUAAUAUCCUGCUUAGUGGCUGGAGUCAGAUUAUCUUGACUUGCUGGCUCUGCUUGUGGUGGUCUCACUAUGAAGGACUCCUUUUCACCAGGGGCUCAUCUGGGUUGUGUGAGUCAGAUUUGCGUUCCGACGUGGCCGCCAUCUUGGUUGCUGCCGGGCGGUGUAGUAAGGUACCGAUGUCAGGCUGUGUAUAUUUUAACACUAUUCUGUUGGAUCUCUCCCUCCAUCCAAACUGGGAAGUAGGUAAGUUCUGUAACACUCCUCACAAUGCAGGGGUCAGACUGUCCUACAGAUUCCAGUUCUGUGUGUUAAUGUUUAUAUAUUUUGCUCUGUCAGCUAUAAUGCUUGACUUACUUUGAUUCUGAUUCUUUUGUUUAUGCAGGAGAGGGGAGUACCCCUACAGUUGUGCUCCUCUGCUCUGCUAUAGGACAACUUUGCCAGUUACUAUGAAAAAGCUAGUGAGGGCAUUCACAAGCACCAACAUGUAGUUUUCCCUGUAACAGCCACCUUUCCUUGAUUUUAAAAAUUGGAAAGUAAUUUGAGAGGUGAGAGUAAUAAAAUGUUUAGGGCUAUAUUUCCCCAGCUGGGCUCACACCCUUAAAGGUGGGAUAUGUUGGCCAUUUUGGAAGCCUGGAUUGUCAGGGGAAGAUGUAGUGAUAUGUUAGGAUGAGUGCUUAGUUUGGAGAGAAGCCAGGCCGGUAUGAUAACAUAAAAGUGGGUUACAUUCCAUGUAUGGAGAUAGCAAGGAACAUUGACAAAGUAGCAGUAAUGGAAUGGAAGGAAGAUAGGUUGGGUUAGGUGGGAUUCAAGACAUGCCACUGACACUGACUAGUAAGCCAAUCUAUGGCAUCUCUGAUUUGAGCUGCCACAGUGUAUAUUUGCACAUUAGAAAGAUUAAGGCCUACCUGUGGUUUUAAAUGACACAGUUUGGAGAGACUUAGGUGGGUGUGAGCAGACAGCACAAUAUAUAUGCUAACACUUUCAGGGGACCUGCCUUUCCCUAAUAUAUGGUUCAUAGGAUUGUGGGAACAUUAAAGAAACACUCAAAGCACCAUAAGCACUACAGUCUGCUG